UGUUUUAAAAGUCAUGUGAUGUAUUCCAGCCUUAAUGUGCUCUGUACACAACAACCCAAUUCUGUUAAUUUUGUUACAUCUAUAGCCUAAAUGAGGCCAUAUGGAAUUAAAGAAAACUGUCCACAAACAUUAUGGAAGAACGUCAACAUUAAAGUGAUGGAUUAUAGCAGCAGAUGAAAGCGCUAAAGAGAACUCCUGCUGACAAACAAGGCGGUGUUUUAUCUUCACAUGAAGAAGUUCCGCUGACAUGCUGAAAUUGCCUUUUUUAGAC